rnacentral:tRNA from 1 species
GCCCUGGCAGUAUUAGCGUACUUUUAUUUUUCAUAUAAAAAGAUUAUAACUAUAAUCAGGCCU